AGUGAACGCUGGCGGUAGGCCUAACACAUGCAAGUCGAACGGCAGCACAGUAAGAGCUUGCUCUUACGGGUGGCGAGUGGCGGACGGGUGAGGAAUACAUCGGAAUCUACUUUUUCGUGGGGGAUAACGUAGGGAAACUUACGCUAAUACCGCAUACGACCUACGGGUGAAAGCAGGGGAUCUUCGGACCUUGCGCGAUUGAAUGAGCCGAUGUCGGAUUAGCUAGUUGGCGGGGUAAAGGCCCACCAAGGCGACGAUCCGUAGCUGGUCUGAGAGGAUGAUCAGCCACACUGGAACUGAGACACGCUCCAGACCCCUACGGGAGGCAGCAGUGGGGAAUAUUGGACAAUGGGCGCAAGCCUGAUCCAGCCAUACCGCGUGGGUGAAGAAGGCCUUCGGGUUGUAAAGCCCUUUUGUUGGGAAAGAAAAGCAGCAGGUUAAUACCCCGCUGUUCUGACGGUACCCAAAGAAUAAGCACCGGCUAACUUCGUG
rnacentral:rRNA from 1 species